rnacentral:rRNA from 1 species
GACGAACGCUGGCGGCGUGCUUAACACAUGCGAGUCGAACGGAAAGGCCCUGCUUUUGUGGGGUGCUCGAGUGGCGAACGGGUGAGUAACACGUGAGUAACCUGCCCUUGACUUUGGGAUAACUUCAGGAAACUGGGGCUAAUACCGGAUAGGAGCUCCUGCUGCAUGGUGGGGGUUGGAAAGUUUCGGCGGUUGGGGAUGGACUCGCGGCUUAUCAGCUUGUUGGUGGGGUAGUGGCUUACCAAGGCUUUGACGGGUAGCCGGCCUGAGAGGGUGACCGGCCACAUUGGGACUGAGAUACGGCCCAGACUCCUACGGGAGGCAGCAGUGGGGAAUAUUGCACAAUGGGCGGAAGCCUGAUGCAGCAACGCCGCGUGCGGGAUGACGGCCUUCGGGUUGUAAACCGCUUUCGCCUGUGACGAAACGUGAGUGACGGUAAUGGGUAAAGAAGCACCGGCUAACUACGUG